rfam:Oryzias latipes DNA, chromosome17, strain: Hd-rR.
CUGUUAUCAAGUUCAAGUAAUCCAGGAUAGGCUGUUUGUAUCCUGGUUGGCCUAUUCAUGAUUACUUGCACUGGGUGGCAG